rnacentral:rRNA from 1 species
GACGAACGCUGGCGGCGUGCUUAACACAUGCAAGUCGAACGGAAAGGCCCUGCUUGCAGGGUACUCGAGUGGCGAACGGGUGAGUAACACGUGGGUGAUCUGCCCUGCACUUCGGGAUAAGCCUGGGAAACUGGGUCUAAUACCGGAUAGGAGCCAUUUUUAGUGUGAUGGUUGGAAAGUUUUUUCGGUGUAGGAUGAGCUCGCGGCCUAUCAGCUUGUUGGUGGGGUAAUGGCCUACCAAGGCGGCGACGGGUAGCCGGCCUGAGAGGGUGGACGGCCAACUGGGGCCUAGGGAAGGCCCCAGCAGCCAAUGGGGGGCAGGGGGGGGGAGAAUGGCGCAGGGGCGCCAAGCGUGUGGCGGAGGCCCUCGGUGGGGAAAGCCGUCCUUCGGGUGAAAAACUCCUUUGGCAGGGGAUAAGCCUUUUUUGACGGGACCUAAGUAGAAAGGCACGGCCAAACACGUG